rnacentral:lncRNA from 1 species
GCAUAUUUUUCAGCCUAGUGUCAACAACAGUUUGUAACAGCUCUUUCCAUGUUGUAUUUGCCUUAGGUUUGCAAACUCCUAGCUCAUGAAGAAGGAACCUGACUUCACUUCUCAGCUUCAGGCUGCUGAGAUUCUUCCACUGACUCUAAACAGUGAGUUCCACAGUCAUGUAUGCACUGAACAGGCACUUCUUAGUGAGCUGCUGUGAUAGCCUACAAAUCUUUUCACUGAAAUGUGAAAUGUUGAUCAGAAAUUAUUGACUUGUAGCGAGGAUUUCUGAAUCUACUGCACCCAAAAGGAAUCUCCCAGCCUAGGAUAUGAGUCAAGCUGCUGUGUCUGUGCCAUGCAUAUCACUGUCAGUCUUCCAGAGCUGAAGAUGAAACUUCUCCAGAAGAUCAGAGACAUGCUUUUUCUGAGACCUGCAGUGUAGCAGGAGACUACGGAAGAUUCUUCAGAGUGGAUGCCAUGUGCUUCAUGGAUCUCCUGCAGUCUGGCUCAUUCAGUCCUGAAGAAGUAGUUCAGAAGAAUUUCUAUUCAUCCAGUUGUCUUCUAUUAUGUUUCCAUAUGCAAAGGCACCAUUCUUAUCCUCAUUAGCAGACAUCCAACCAUGACAGGUUGUUUUUGCUGUUAGAAGCAUAAAAAGGGGUAUUAUGAAAGGACUAAUCUCUAGUACGAGAGAUUAUAUCUGAUCCAGAGCAAAGUGCAGAGAAUUUUUGGGAG